GCUGGCGGCAGGNUUAACACAUGCAAGUCGAGCGGUAACAGGGGGUGCUUNCNCCNUGCUGACGAGCGGCGGACGGGUGAGUAAUGCAUAGGAAACUGCCCAGUAGUGGGGGAUAGCCCGGGGAAACCCGGAUUAAUACCGCGUACGCCCUUCGGGGGAAAGCAGGGGAUCUUCGGNCCUUGCGCUAUUGGAUGUGCCUAUGUCGGAUUAGCUAGUUGGUGGGGUAAAGGCCUACCAAGGCGACGAUCCGUAGCUGGUCNGAGAGGAUGAUCAGCCACAUCGGGACUGAGACACGGCCCGAACUCUUACGGGAGGCAGCAGUGGGGAAUAUUGGACAAUGGGGGCAACCCUGAUCCAGCCAUANCCGCGUGUGUGAAGAACGGCUUUCGGGUUGUAAAGCACUUUCAGUGAGGAGGAAAACUCUGCGANUAAUAUCUCGUAGGGCUGGACGUUACUCACAGAAGAAGCCCCGUUANNUNG
rnacentral:rRNA from 1 species